GUCCAGUUGACGAGUACUAAAUGGGACGAAACGCGCGUCGAACUGGAU
rnacentral:hammerhead_ribozyme from 1 species